rnacentral:rRNA from 1 species
ACAUUACACGACUCUCGGCAACGGAUAUCUAGGCUCUCGCAUCGAUGAAGAACGUAGCAAACUGCGAUACUUGGUGUGAAUUGCAGAAUCCCGUGAACCAUCGAGUCUUUGAACGCAAGUUGCGCCCGAAGCCAUUAGGCCGAGGGCACGUCUGCCUGGGCGU